CAAGGGACCUCAAUAGAUCAUCAGGUCCAACCCCCCUGCCAAAGCAGGUUCCCUAGAGCAAGUUGCACAGCUGUGUUCUGCUCUCGCUCAUCACUGACUUGAGAGCAGCCUGCUGUUGGAGUAAUGAAGAGGUUAUCACAGAAAACAGACCCCUCUGAAGACAGGUGGGCAACCUGAAAGCAAGGAUAACAGCACUGUGUUUGCGGAGAUUCUUUAACUGGCAGGUAUGAGACUCUCCUUUCCUGACUUUAAACCAAGCUCUUCC